rnacentral:rRNA from 1 species
GCCUACGGGGGGCAGCAGUGGGGGAUAUUGCACAAUGGGGGAAACCCUGAUGCAGCGACGCCGCGUGGGUGAAGAAGCGCCUCGGCGCGUAAGGCCCUGUCAGCAGGGAAGAAAAUGACGGUACCUGAAGAAGAAGCCCCGGCUAACUACGUGCCAGCAGCCGCGGUAAUACGUAGGGGGCGAGCGUUAUCCGGAUUCAUUGGGCGUAAAGCGCGCGUAGGCGGCCGCCUAAGCGGAACCUCUAACCCCGGGGCUCAACCUCGGGCCGGGUUCCGGACUGGGCGGCUCGAGUGCGGUAGAGGAGA